UUUAUAUUUUUUGUUUAAAAUUUAAAUUAUUAAAAAUAAUUAUAAAAAAAAAUGUUUUAGUAUUUUUUAAAGAAAAAAUAAUAUUAAUUAUAGUUUAUUAGUAUUGUGAAAGAAAAUUGAAAUAAUUGAAAAAUUAUUAUAUUAAAAGAAAAUUUAAUUUAUUGUACCUUGUGUAUCAGCGUUUAUUAAAUAAAAAAUAUUUAUAAUAUUUAUCUCGAUUUUAAAAGAGUUAAUAUAAUAUAAAAGUUAAUGUGAUAAAAUUAUUUUUAAUAUUAUAUUAGAAAUGAAAUGUUAUUCGUUUUUAAAGGUAUCUAGUUUUUUAAGAAAUGAAUUUAAUUCAGAAUUUAUAAAUUUAUUAAUUUAAUUAAAUUAAUUUAAUAAUUUAUAAAUUUAAUAUUUUAUGGGAUAAGCUGUAAAAUAAAUUUUUAAAAAUAAUAAAUUUUAAUAAAAAAUAUAUGCUUAGAAUUAGCAACUAUUAAUAAAUUUGUUAUAAUUUAUUUUAUAAAAUAAAUUAUUUAUUAUAUUUUAAAUUUUUAUUAAAAUAUUAAUUUUAAUUUUAAAAAUUAAGAAAAAAUGAUAGAAUUAGUAUAUUAAUUUGUUAAAUUAAUUUAAAUGAUAAGUUUAUGUAAAGAAUUCGGCAAAAAUAAUGUUCGCCUGUUUAACAAAAACAUGUCUUUUUGAAAUAAAUUUAAAGUCUAACCUGCCCACUGAAUUUUUAAAUGGCCGCAGUAUUUUAACUGUGCAAAGGUAGCAUAAUCAUUAGUCUUUUAAUUGAAGGCUGGAAUGAAUGGUUGGACGAGAUAUUAACUGUUUCAUUUAAAUUUAAAAUAGAAUUUUAUUUUUUAGUCAAAAAGCUAAAAUUUUUUUAAAAGACGAGAAGACCCUAUAAAUCUUUAUAUUAGUUUUAUUUUAAUUUUUUAGAUAAUUUUUGUUAAAAUAAAUUAUAAUAUUUUAUUGGGGUGAUAUUAAAAUUUAAUAAACUUUUAAUUUUUAUAAACAUUAAUUUAUGAAUAAUUGAUCCAUUAUUAGUGAUUAAAAAAUUAAGUUACUUUAGGGAUAACAGCGUAAUUUUUUUGGAGAGUUCAUAUCGAUAAAAAAGAUUGCGACCUCGAUGUUGGAUUAAGAUAUAAUUUUGGGUGUAGCCGUUCAAAUUUUAAGUCUGUUCGACUUUUAAAUUCUUACAUGAUCUGAGUUCAAACCGGCGUAAGCCAGGUUGGUUUCUAUCUUUAAUAAAUUAUUAUAUUUUAGUACGAAAGGACCAAAUAUAAGAAUAAUUAUAUUUUAUAAAAUGAAUUUUAUUAAUAUACUAUUUUGGCAGAUUAGUGCAAUAAAUUUAGAAUUUAUGUAUGUAAAGUUUUUACAAA
rnacentral:rRNA from 1 species